UGCCUGAAUAUCUUGUGAAUGUCAGAAAAUUCUGUAUUUUAUUUCAAUGUUCACAUGUUGUGAGAAAUUAAUGGGAUAGAGGUUUUAUAACAUUUGUUCUUAACAGUCCGAACUCAGGCUCAGUUAAAAAAAAAGUAUUUCUUCAAAGACACUUAUAGUAAUUGUCUUAAGGAGGUCUGCCCACUCAAAAUAAAUAAAAAUGAAUUGUAACAAAAAAAUGGGGAUUUAUUGAUCAGUAAGUUUUCAGUAUCAUUUUCUUGUAUGUUUGAAAAAAAAUAAUGGAAUUGAUAGAUUUUUAAGGCUAAUGAGAUGAUUUUAGGUAGAAGUUCCAAAUUUGACCUAGACUUAUAUCUCUAAAAAUGUGUGAAAAAGUAUAGUUUAUUUUAACUGUAAAUCUGAAAGUUGUUCCUGAGUUGUCCUUUACAUGAAUUUUAUUGUUAUUUAUACUCAAGUUAAACAACAAAAAUAGGAAACAUUUUGAAUCAGCAUAUGCCCAAAAACUAAACAUUAAAAUGGUGGUCCCACUAUUCCUGAAACCAAACAUUGGCUAAAAUGAACUAUAUGCACCUUUAAGGUGAGCA
rnacentral:lncRNA from 1 species